GUCAUAUGCGGGUGUGUCACAAAGCGUUUGUUUGCGGUGGCCGAGGACAGGCGGAUCUGGAAAAUGUACUGCGGGCGUUCAGGGAAGUGCAGCUCUCCCCCAGAAAUGGACAGAGGCCGGUUUACCCCGCUGUGACCCAGCACGCACACAGGCAAACUAAGCCCACUGCUCGAAGCUAGGAAAAUGUCAAGCUGUGGAGCAGAGCAGUACCGCUAAGCUUCAGUUACUAACCAGGCCUGCUUUCACUGCUGAUUACUUUGUCAGCAAAAUCGAAAGGUUGCUCAGGGCACCGACAGGAUAUGUGGCUGAGAAAGCACCUUGCUGAGGGUUCUUUAACUCUGAUCUACAGUUAAGGACUUUGCGUUCUGGCUUGUGAGUAUCACAGCGUGCUCGUGGAGCUCUCUUGCCAAACCACAGUUAUUUGCAACAUUUCAUUACUCCAGCAUUUUCAUACUUAGGGGAGAGUUCACAGCUCUCUUUCGGUUCUGCGUGGCUGCUGACCUUUCACUUCAGCAGACCUUUUGGUGGCAUGGUAGCAGAGCUGCCAGUGUGGGUGUACACCCACAGUCGGGUCUGCGGGGAGGUUUAGGUAAAGCAAAUCUGGCUGCGCAGUGUUUCAGUCAAUGAAUGCAAUGAAUUUCCAUUGUUUUCAAUCUCCUACCAAUACUGAACAGGACUUCUUGAACAGAACAUUGCUUCUAAAACAUGCUGCAUUGUGUACUCUUACAUGGUGAGAUGAGAUUUCUGGAUUUUUUUUUUUAAUUUUGAGCUGUUCAUCCACGUACUGGAGUGAGGGUUUGGUUAGAGCCACGUUUAGCAGAGGAUGAUCAUACAAACCUUCACUCAGGUAAGUACCUCACUGAAGUGCUUCCGAAGCUUCUGUUGACUUCAGUGUAAUCAUUUGCAUGACUGUGGAAAGGCACCCGGAGAACUAGUUGGCAUUAUCGAGUGAACCAGUGACAAAACACACCUUUACAUCCAAAGAGACACGAGGUGUCUGACAUUUGAUUUUGAAUUUGUAGUGGAGGAAAACGGCCUAUGCCUGCUAUAGAGAAGCUGUUUGCUGUAGGCAUAUACCCCAGCAUACUAUCCAAAUGCAGCCAUUUGUUUGGGAUCAGGUGAUCCAGGCUGAGCAAGAAAGAGUGCAAGUGGGGGCAUUACUGCACUGCCAGCACUCUACCCCUUGUUGUGACUUCAGGGACAUCCAUGGUUGCUGCUGCAAAUUUAAGUCCUGCGUGACAUGUAGUUUAUGAGAAUGUAUGCAUAAGGGACCUGAGUAGUCUGGUUGACAGUGUAAUGCAUGGCAGACUGCUCACAAACAACUCUAAUGUGUGAGAAUGACCUGAUUCUAAGCAGAAUAUGUCUCUAAAAGUGCAAACUGGACACAGGGAGAUGGAGAGGGAAAGGGCCCAGUCACCGUGAGCUGCCCCAGUCGCAGUGUGCUGCUUACUAAUGAUAUCAAAUGAAGAAUGACAGUUCUAAUGCUUAGGCUCUAGUACUUAUGAACCUUAAUAUCUGGAUUUCUUAGAUUUAUUUCUGUUGUUAAAUUAAUUUCUCAUUCCAUUAUGAUAGUUGAAACCAGCAACUGCAGAAUGCAAUCAUGAGAAGGGUGUGUCUAUUCGAUGCCUUCAAGGUCUCAAAUACAUUAUGUUCUUUUUUCUUUGCAUUUCUAAAGGUUUAUCUUCCCAAAUUUUCAGGAAAAAAAAAAUGCUAACAUUUCUGUAUUGAUUCUUCGCUUGGGUGCAUUGUGAACAUGAGGUGCAUGCUACAUACAGGGGUAAGUGGUAAAAUCAUGGAACUGGUAUCCAUUAGCAAUGGUUAUAUUUGCACUGCAUCCCAAAUACUACAUUUGAUGCCAUCCUUCCAUCAUGCCUCAAGAAUUACUCUGAAGGGACUGCAGCUGGUGGGUAUGACAAUAAAAGUUAAUCUAUUGAUUAAAUAUUAACAAUAAGCUGGCUCAGAUCAUUGCUCCACAUAGCACAAUAUUCUGUCAGUAAUGACAGCUCUAAGCAGAUGCCUAAGGAAGUGUUCCAGUUAUCUAUGCUGCCUCCUCUGCUUCAGCUUCAUGCUUUCCCACUCUGACCAUUUUCAGAGGUGAGAAUUUAAUGAGACACUGAGUUUUUUUUCUAAGAAAUAUUCCACCCUUACAAGAGGUUUUCGAAUGUCUUGAAUUCAUAUAAACUCUUGCAUAAAUAAUAACAUCUUUUGACGUGAGUUCCUCUGAUCUGCUUCCUGUGUAUGAAGAGGGUCUGCUUGCUUGGACUCUGGCUCCCACAAGCUCCACUUUAUGGCCAUCUAUGCUUGUUCUGGAAAAGGCAUUCAACAGCGGAGCUCCCCCUCUCCGUGCCACUCAUGAGUUUGUCAGCCUCUGUCCCAUAUCCGCACCCACCUUGAGUGCAUGAAUGCAAGAACUAAAUAUACUCUCCACCCUCUCCUUUUGGCCAAAGGCAAGACUUUCCCUUUUAUUUCACAACUUCCUUCUUAAAACUUUCAGAUUUUCCUUAAAAACUCCAUUAAGGCUAUAGCAAUCACUCUUUUCUACAUGUUUAUAAGGCAUCACAUCCAAAAAUGGAAUCCAUAUGCUGGCGCUACACACGUUGGCCUAUAUUAUAGAUUUCCUGACAGGAUUUUGCUCUUGGUUGGUGUGUAAGAUGAAUUAUUUCAAAGUUUUGUUCCCGUGUUCAGAUGUUUCCAAACUCUUUUUGGCCUAUCUAGUUAUAUUUUUGCGUUUAUCAAAGUAAAUGUUCCUUUUUGUUAUCUUCUUUUGAAUGUGGUAUAGGUUUUUGCAGUGGUUCGGAUUGCCUCUUUGCUUCAAGUCUGGUAUCCUUCAGCUUUCUCCUAACCACAUGUAUGAGUUUAGUUCUUUUAGCCAUCUUUCCUAAUUUCUUUUUAGAAAGCUUCACGCCAUUCCCUUACUGGAGUCUAGCACAAUGAUAGAGGAUUCUUUGGCCUUCGUUGUUCCUUGUAGGAAUGUUAUUUUUUAUGAAGAGAGGAGUCCCCUCUGAAACUCUGAACCAGGUCUUGUGCAUUGCUCUGCCUCAAGCCAAGGACUGCGUUUCAUCCUGAGGGCUCACUCUGUGAAAAAUAAUUCUCUUUUAAUAAUACCAUCUAGGUGGUAUUAUUAAAACAUCUAGGAAUAAAUAACCUGUCGAUAUGCUGUUGUCAAUGGUACUGUCCUGGCUGAUGGUCUUUCAGGUAGAUACAAUCCCAUAUUCUUCUCAGCUGCGCUUUGAAUUUCAAUCUGUGUAGAUUAUACGUGUCUCUGAGGUGGAUGGUUUCCUACACAUCUGGCUUCUCUGCUAUCUAAUCUUUGGGCUAAAGCAUCAUCUCUUUCUGUUUAUGCUCACUCCUAGCUCCUUCAAACCUAUUGUAAAGGAGCUCAGCAAGGAGUGUACAUCAGAAGAAACAACCACAAGAGGUAAUCUCUCAUCAUGCUAUUUCAACACAGCAGGGGAAAAUAUGGUCUUCCUUGUAUGUUGGGGUAGUCAUUGAUUUCAGUACAUGUUUUAUUUAAACUGAGGUUGAUUUUCAUUCUUUCUACUUGUUCUACAAGUGCAUAUUUCACUCCUUUAUAGAUUUCCCAAAUCCCAAAUGAAUACUUCUCACCUCGUGUUGCAAUUUACUGUCAUUUUUUUUCUUAUGUAAUGCUGAAACUUUGUAUGCGAACAUAAAGAUACCCACUGUGUUUCUCUUUAGAUGCCUGGCUGAAGAUUAGUAUUUUGUGGUCAACCUUUAAGAAAAAUUGGGCUUUCUGAAGUGUCUAGAUUUCUUUGAACUAAUGCCCUUAGGGCAAAUCAAAAAGGCCAGCUGCCCUUUAAAGAUGAACGGGGGAAGGGCUCUUAGUCAAAUUAAUUGAAAGAGAGUUCUGUCUUUGAAGAUAAACUAUUUUUUGAAGGGGAAACUUUGUUUUUAAAACAGGUUAAAACAGAUCUAUCUAGGUAACUCCGUGACAAGUUAGUUCUCAGAAAUGGUCUAGAAAGUCAUUUUUCCUCUUUCACUCUUUCCAGAUGAAGGGUAUUCAGAUCUUCAGGAUACAAUAAUGCCGUACACAGCAAAAGACACUUUCACUUCCUGCAGUUUCGUUUCAUUUAGCUUCUUCCUCUCUGGGUGUUGGGACGCAGUGUAGGAGCCAAACGUGCUUUGAGUCAUCCAUCCACCAAAUCAUGCUUGAUUACACAGGAGUUCAGAGGGGAUUUACUCGAAGCUGUGUGUCAGAAUUUGUGUGAUCAUUGUUUCUAUAUCAGCCCUCAUGGAGAAACCUGGUCUUCCGUCACUUCCAUUAUACCACUUUGAACAGCUUUUCAACAUCACUUGUAACUAGAGCUGAUUUGAUAAUAAAGAAGCAUGUCGGAGGGGAAAUCUCAGUGCUAAAGGACCACAGCUGCUUUAUUAUAGUAACAGGUGGAAAGCUGCUCUGAAGAUCCUGCAUAAUAAAUUCUUUCUGAACAAAGAAACGUCAGAUUUAAUUAUACUGAAGAGUUGUUAAAAUGUUACAAAUACAGAAAAUCUUCAGGGUUUUUUUCUUCCUAAUACCCGUUUCUGACACACUGAGAGCAUUUACUUAUUCUCUGUUUAUUUCACUUCCUGGAGAAGUAGUUAAGUUCCAUGAAGCUCACUGUCAGGAGCUUUUAAAAAUGAAUCAUGUCCUGCAGUUAUUUAGAAGUAUGGCACCACUCCAAAACACAAUCAACUCAUUUGGAGUUUUCAAAUAUUGACAGUCAAGGUACAAUGUUUAGAGUCUCAGGUCUUAUUUCAGUGUUAACUUUGCCUUCAGUGAAGAAAUAUUUUUAUAUUUUAUGACCAUUUGAAAGGGUGCUUUAGCUUUAUCUGGAGAGAUGAAUUCAGGGAGGGGACGAUUUCUUACGUUAAAAAUAAUUGUUAGAAGCUGCCACAUUGCUUUUCUUUGAUUCUACAAAGUGCUGUUACUUCCUGGAUUCAAUAAAUCAAGCAGAAAUAAAAGUGUAGUUUUUUCCUUUAAAUCCAGAUAAUGAUGUGAAGUGUAAGAGUAAUACCAAUACUAUGGUAGGAAAAAAAAAAAGGCAUUGUUAGACAUAAUAUUAACAUGUUAAAUAUUUACACAGGGUGGAAAUACAAACAAAAUAGAAACUAAUCAAGUGAGUUUAAUCUUUCAGUAUGAUCUGUCACAGUAGCUGAUGAGUUGGUCAUAAACAAACACUUCAAAAUCUUCCAUGUAAAAUAUAUAUAUAGUCUAAUACUGCUACAAUAAACAAUUAGGUUAUUAAUCAGAAAUAUCUGAGCUAUCACAACAGUAACACAUUCUGUCCAAUAACUUUGUUCAGUUUAACUGGUUAUAUUUUAAAGAAGCAGGCAUUUUCACUUUUCCAAUCUUCUAGCCAUGGAUUCUAUAAACACACUAUAAAAAUUAAAGAAAAUGCUUGGGUAACUUUUAAUGUUAGUCUUCUAACAUCUAGUCUGAGCAUUCUGCUCAACAGCUAUUCAACAGGUACCUUGAAAAGUUAUGAUAAUUCAGUACAGUAACACCAUGGGAGAUAUAUAUACAAAAUUGUACUGGUGGUUUUGUAAGUGGCAGCGAGUGGGAGGGACAAGAGCGAGGGGAGCUGCGUUGUUCCCCAUUCAGUCCUGCGACCUCCCACCCUUUUGUGAGGGUGUGCCAUUAUUUAUCCCCAAAACCUUGUCAGGCAGCUCCAAGAAUGAGGGUGCCUGCUAGGAACAAAUGCUCAUUGAUUCCCCAGCAUGCCUGGGGAAGGGCAACGCUCAUCUCUUGCCCUACAAUCUGUGCCAGUUGCAGCAGUGGCACUACAGGCUGAGCCUGCCAGACUGAAUGUCAGCUGCUCUGUAACCCACUCCAACAGCUGUGCAUUUGAUGCACACGGGACAGCAGAGAGACUUGUGAUUCCUUGGCAAAGGGGAAAUGGUUUCUGUCAGCAGACUCAAGGGGAAUGGCAGCGGCAGAGGAAGGGUGGCAGCAGCCAGACCAUUGCCUCCUCCCCAUCAGCUUUUUGUUCUCCUUGUCCUCCUGCUCUCUGUCUCUGUGUCACACUGCCCCUCUUCUCUGUUAGCAUUGGGAGCAUGGAGAUAAGCGGCCCUGGUGCUGUUGGUUAGGAGCAGGCCCCAUAGGAGAGCUCUGCCUGGGGCUGCGCACCCACAGGGACUGCACACUGUCCUCGUGGCCACCGCCAGCUCUCCCCCUCCCCAGCACCGCCCAGGACAGCCCUCCCUGCUUCCUCAGCAGCAGAAAAUGAACUGGGUGGGUGGCAGCCGGUGAGUGAAAUUCUUCAGGGCCACCAGAAAUGGCUCCAUGCCAAGCAGCAGAUCUCUGUGUUUCAGGCCUGGUGUCCCCUCAGAGACUCGCAGGGCCAUGGCAUGGCCUGGUGUUCCCUCAGAGACCCACAGGGCCAUGGCAUGGCCUGGUGUUCCCUCAGAGACCCACAGGGCCAUGGCGGGUGGCAGCCCCAGUGUCCCCUCACAGACUGGGCAUAUUUAAGAUUCACUGAAAUAUUAAAAUAAUCACUUAUGGGCUGAUAACAUUAAAAAAAAAAAAAAAAAAACAGUAUAAGAUUCAAUUUCUUUGGGCCCCAUACCUGUUGCCUAUCAGAAUUUUAAACCCUACUGUUUUUGUCAGCAUUUGAAAGUAGCUUUAGUAAACACAGUUUUACAUUCAUCCUGACACUGUAUGCAGAAUCUGACUAAAAUAAAGCCUUACCUAUCUGUAAGUCUCUACAGACAAGUGGAAUUUCUGAAAGCUGCUGUGGAGGGUUGACCUGGGCUGGUUGUCAGGUGCCUACCCAUGUCACUCUGCCACAGGGAGAAAAUGUGAAAGGAAAACCUUGCGGGUUGAGAUAACAGCAUUUUUAAGAAAGAAAAGGAAAGUGUUCAUGUGAAAGCAAAGGGGAAAAAAAACCCAAACCUAUUCUCUACUUCUUAUCCGUGGACAAUGUCUAGCCACUUGCUGGGAAGUAAGGCCUCAGCAUGAGCAGCAGUUGCUUUGGAAGAUUUGCCUUUGUACAAAUGUACACCCCUCCCUACACCCCCACAACCUUCCUCCUACAUUUUAUUGACAUCAUAAGGUAUGAAAUAACUCCUUGGUCAAUUUGGGUAAGAUCCUGUGACCAUGUUCCUUCCCCACCUCUCGCCCACCUGUAGUCUAUGGCUUUGGGUUGGAGCCAGCCCUGAUGCGGUGCCAGCACUGCUUAGUGGUAGCAAAAACAUCUGUGUGGUGUCACAGCUGCUCUGGUGACACAUGCAGAGCACAAAACCACGUGAUAUACAUCAUAUAUACAUGUAUAAUUUAUAUUUAUAUACUUUAUUUACAUAAUUAUAUAUAUAUUUAUAUGCACGUGUUCAGGAAGAGUGUGGGUCCUUUCCAACUCAGGCUAUUCCAUUCCAUGAGUGCCAAAGAUUUGGGGAUAGUAUUAAGAAAAAGAAAAAAAAAUGUAAUUCCAAGGAUCUACUCUGUAUUUCUAACUCUUAAAUAAAUGUGCAACUCUUACUUGACCCAAACAUUGCACCCAUAUUCAAUGUGUUCAUAACAGUGACCCAGAACUCCAAUUUUAAACAUGGUGUCCUGCAACCAAUUGAUUUAAAACUAUGUUUAACAAGUAAUGUAUGUAGUUUAAGGUAUAGCUGUUUCCUAUAUAGCACAAACAACAGCAGCUCAAUACAAGUUGUACUGACAAUCUCUUUAAUCUCUCUUAUUUUUUUUCCUAAUGUUCACAAUAUACCAUGAAGUCCUGAAAGGCAGAAAGUUGUGCGGUGCUCUUUUGCUUUCUUUGUUAACAUGGUUUUGUAACUGUGUUGCAGCAUGAAAUUGAAAAUUAGAAUAAAUAUUGACAAAGAUUUCUUGUGAUGUUUUAAGAAGUGAAGAAUUGAUGAAUUGUUUCAUUACAAGUUAAAUACCUCAAAGCUCUUUCUUCUGAAUGUUCAAUAUAUUUUAUAUCCCUGAGAUAGAAUGGGAUCAUAGCCUUACCUAAGUAAACCAGGACCAGCCAAAGUGACUUCAGCAGAGUUAUGUUGACUUUGCUUCCUCAAGGUUUGACCCAUUAUAGCCAAGCAGAGCAAUUUGCUUCCAAAAUUCUCACUAACAUUUACGUGAAGCUCAGGCCACGACUAAAGAUUACACCUUUAUUAUUAAAACAAUAACUAUUUGCAUCUUUCAGGAGCAGAGUCAUACUAAAGCAGGAAAGGAGAAAGCAAAAGGUAAAUGGUUCUAGCCACCAUGGAUUUUAUGUUAUGCAAAUGAUUGAGUUGUUUCACUGUGGAAAAUCUUUCAAAGCAAUUGGAGUGAGGCGCAAAACAUUGCAUAGCAUAACACUUGUUAUGUGUUUGCCUGACUGUACUUAACUUUUAGAACAGAAGACUUUUUCUAGGUUUACUACACUGAAUUCCAGCAGCAAGAGGAGGAAGGAGGAGAAGGCAUGAGUGCACCCAAUUUAAGUUUUACUGAGUUACUUCUGGUACUACAUUCUGCUUGCUGAAGCAACAGCUAUUUUCUAUAGACGGAAUUCUUUGAAAAGAAAAAACUUAAAUCAAAGAUGAAGCUUCUGGGAGCAUCAUCUCCUAAAAGUUCAGCAGUCAGCUUAGAUCUCCUUAAUCUCUAUGUUGUUAACCAGAUAUCAACCAAAAAAGACAGCACUGGCAACCUGAAAAAGCCAGUCCAUGUUGAUAUAACUGAAAAUGUAAAGGCACCCUUUAGAAGGAACAACCUAGAGCUUCCCAGGUCACCACUACGAAACCAAUUUACAGCACACUUAGAUGACAUCAAGAACAGGUUACAAGAGCAAGUACUGGACAGCAGAAGGCAGCAUCUCUUAGAAAAAGAAAAAUACCAACAUAAGUUAACACAAGUAACAGAACUAACUUCCGCUGAAUGUAUGGAACAUGAAGACAACACAGCAACAACUUUUAGCACCUGCCCAUUGUCCCCUUCUAUUUUUUGGUCCUCUAACUGUGAACAGCUUUCAGAAGAAAAUUUCAAUACAAAACUAAUGGGUGACCCUUGGGAACAGACUUAUGAAGAUAAGCUAAAGAAACAGUCAAGAACUAUUUCUGAGCAAGACCCUUGGAUUUCAAAUCACUCCAGCCAGUGUAUUUUCAGGAAGUCUGAUACAGAGCCUCAGGAACUACUUAAGCCAUUGCACAGGCUAGACUAUAUGAAUUCUGCCAGGAAAGAUCCAGUGAUAAUGGCCAGUAAAGAAUCAGAAAACACCAACGAAAUAAAAGAACUAUUGUUUGGUGUCAUGAAAGAAACUGCAGACCUGAGAGCUCCUCAAGAUGAAAGUGAUUGUCCCUUUCUGUCCCUGUUUGGAGAUGAAAGCCAACCAAUCUAUUAUAAAGCUUCCACAAAACAUUGUAAUCCUUUUGUUAACGAAAACACUGCUCCUGUUUUUCUCAUUGAUCUCGAUAAUAGAAAUCAAAUGACCAACAGAAAUUAUGCAUACGAUACUGAAGAGGCUCAUCCUGCAACUAAUGCAAGAAAAAGUUCUGUAGACAGACACCGUAGAGGCAUUUUCACAGUUCCAGAACAGGUUUUAUGUAAAAGCAACAAUGCACCGUUUGCAAACUACAAGAAAAACAGCCUUCAUAAAACCCACCUUCAGGACUGUCACGAGGGACAGCUCUACUUAAUACCACCCGGAAACGAAGAAAAACCUUUAACAUCUGAAAAAAGCGAAAAAUAUGCUAAUUAUCGUGAUCAGCAGAUUAAUUUAAAGGAGAACAUGCAGAACCAUUCAAGAAAUAAAAGAGAUGAGCCUGUGAAAGAAUCGAUCUGGAAACAGAAUCAGCUUUUUGAAUUGGAAGAGUUUGCAAAAGCACAGCAGAAAGACUACAACUUUGGUGCAAGUUCAAACCUUCACAGGAUGAAGCAGGCUCAUUUUUCAGAUGCAGAUUCACCACUCAGCAGCCCAUCUCCCAGUUACUCCCCAAGACAGACAGAAAGCUGCUUCAGCUCCAGCCCUGACAUGUCUGAAGAGGAAGAUGCAGCCAGAAAGAAGAAAUAUGUGGACAAGCAGCACCUCCAGACAGACAGUGCCAACCUGAUCUCAGCCUCUGACAGCACAGAGCCCCUCAGGGCCUCUCAUAAUGGCGUUGUGCCUCCCCAGCCCGGCAGCAGUCUGGCUAUGGAGGGAGACGGCCAUCUUCAGCAGAAACACUCCAUUUCACACAGCAGAGAGGAAAAGAAAGAGCACGCCGCUCCAUGUGAGGGCAGCUCGUUACCCCAAGCCCACAAGAGAGCACAAGCCACGCAGAGCGCAAGGCGCGAUGUUUGGGUGCAGACCGAGAGCUCUGGCCCGCAAGCAGGGAAAGUGGAUGCGGCCACCCAGUGUGACCCCAUGCGGGUGUGCAGCUGUGGCCGCUCCCUGACCUCUGCUCGCAGCCCGCUGGGGCUGCAUCCUCCCGGCACCGCUGGAGGGCACAAAACGCCUGAGCAUGAGGCACUGCCGCCCGCAGGCAGCUCAACGGGGACAGCGGCGCUCUCCUCUGAAGCCGGAUAUCUCACUUUGGCUGACAGAACAACGCUAGACAUUCUGAACUACAUUGAUACAAUGAAGGGGAGAGAAAAGCAGUGACCAGCUGAUACGGCGUGGAAAGAAACAGAAAGAAUGCUUCCAAAUUUUGUCCUGUUCCCAGUGGGUUUCAUUUAACCUAUUUUGAUUUUUCUAACCUGGCUUGAAAAGCUAUCUUUUGUAGUCUGUUCUUAUAAAUUAAUACUAACGAUGGCUCUCUGUCUAUCAGCUGCCAUCUCUGACUUUCUGUAGAUCUCAAACUGAUAACAUAGGAUCGAUUUUACAGUAGCUUAUUAAACAUGAACCUUAGGAGUUAGAUUUGCUUUCCCACCUGUAGGGUUCUGCAGUUUGACUUUGCUUCUCUUGAAAGUAGAGGAAAGGUUCCAUUUCACUUCAAGGCACAUCUGACGUGACUUAGUUCAGAACUGUUGUCAAAUUCUCACCCGUUUGAAGAGGCAAAGCAGUCCUUGGUUUGUACUAAAUAUCUAAAUGGAAAUAGGAAAAUGGAACAGAAAGCACACAGCAGCACACAUAAAAUCAAAUGUCAUUUUAAAAGAGCUCAUUUAUUCAUUUUUAACCAAAAAAAUCCCACCAAAACCAAACAAAAACGUCAGCAGAAAGGCUCGAGCUUCUUCCCACAGCACAUCUAUGGACUCAUUCUCUGGCUGUUAACACUGACAAAUAUUUUAUGUGUUUCCGUGUUUUGCCUGUGGGUUGAAAGUAUGAAACACUUUCCUCCUCACUGCAGUAUUUGUGUAAGGCUGCAAAUAACAACAAAUAAAUGCCGCUGAUAAUAUUC